rnacentral:rRNA from 1 species
AUGCCUCUCCUCCUCAUAGUUUUCACCUCACUCUUCUUCUACCUGAGCGCCCCUCCAAGUUUCGCCGCCGCGACGGACACCAUCUUACCCGGCCAAGCACUUGCCGUCAACGACAAGCUCGUCUCCGAAAACGGCAGGUACGCCCUUGGCUUCUUUGAAACAAGCAACACCAAAUCCUCCCAGAGCACCAGUAGCUGGUACCUAGGCAUAUGGUUCAACACAGUCCCCAUAUUUGCUUCCGCCUGGGUUGCAAACAGAGAGAAGCCAAUCAAAAACACCGCCUCGCUACAACUCACAGUCUCCAGCGAUGGCAACCUCGUCAUCCAAAACCGGUCCACCAAGUCCAUAUUCUGGUCCACCCAAGCAAACGUCAGAAUAAACGGCACCAUUGCUAUGCUCUUGAGCAAUGGAAACCUCAUCCUAAGGAACUCCUCAAACUCGUCGCACAUCUUGUGGCAAAGUUUUGACCACCCCACAGACACACUUCUACCAGGGGCGAAGCUUGGAUUAGACAAGCUAACCGGCAUGAAUCGCCGUCUGGUUUCGUGGAAAAACAGGAUCAACCCGGCUAGCGGUGCAUACUGCGAUGGGUUAGACCCCAGCGGUGCAGAUCAGUUCUUGCUUUCACGGCUCGACUCUUCCAUGUCAUAUUGGUCCAGCGGUGUGUGGAACGGGGAAUCCUUUGUGUCGGCUCCAGGGUAUAGAAGCCCGAACCGGGCUUCUUACAAUUUGACUUUUGUUGACAAUGAACGAGAGAAGUAUGUUGUUGAGAGCUUAACCGACGAGAAUAUUGUUUUUCGUCAUGUGAUUGAUGCCUCUGGUCAGGCCAAGGGGUACGUUUGGUAUGAGGGCUUGCAAGACUGGAUAUUGGCCUACAGCCAACCAAAAGCUCAGUGUGAUGUCUACGCAGGUUGUGGGCCUUUCACAAUCUGCAACGAUGACGCCCUUCCAAACUGCAUCUGCAUGGAUGGCUUCACCAUAACAUCCCCUCUGGAUUGGGAGCUCGAAGAUCGAACCGCUGGGUGCUCGAGAAAAACUCCAUUGCACUGCAUUACUAACAAGAACACAACAUACUCGACAGAUCGGUUCGCCUCUUUGCCCUGUGUUAGGUUGCCCAAAAAUGGCAGAAAAGUAGGGAUUGCCACAAGCGCCCAAGAGUGCGCACAAAUUUGCCUAAAUAAUUGCUCUUGCACCGCUUAUUCCUUCGGGAAUGAAGGAUGCUAUAUUUUGCAUCACGAAUUGAUCAACAUAGCACAAUUACAAUGUGGUGGCACAACAAAGAAUUCAGAUAGAGAAACACUUUACUUUCGCCUUUCUGCUCAAGAUGUUCAAAGUUUGAGAAAUAACAGAAGGAAGACUGUUGGAGUUGUGGUUGGCACGGGCCUUUCCGCUCUAGGCUUAUUUGGACUCGGCCUCCUCCUAAUGAUUUGGAGAAACAAAAGGAAGAGAUCUUCUCACAAAAUUUAUGGUAGUAAUGGGGGUAGAAUCAUUGCAUUUAAAUACAGUGACUUACAACGAGCAACGAAACAUUUCACAGAUAAAUUGGGGGAAGGUAGUUUUGGUUCUGUGUUCAAGGGGUUUCUAAGUGACUCGCAUGCCAUAGCAGUGAAGAUGCUUGAUGGUGCUUAUCAAGGAGAGAAGCAAUUCCGAGCCGAAGUGAGCUCGGUUGGAGCCAUCCAACACAUCAAUUUGGUCAAGCUAGUUGGUUUUUGCUGCCAUGGUCCGAAAAGACUGCUGGUUUAUGAACACAUGCCAAAUCGGUCGCUUGACAUCCAUCUUUUUAAAGACAACUCCACGAUAUUGAAUUGGACUACCAGGUAUCAGAUAGCCCUCGGAGUUGCUAGAGGGUUAGCUUACAUGCAUGAGAGCUGUCGAGAUUACAUCAUACAUUGUGAUAUCAAGCCAGAAAACAUACUUCUCGAUGCUUUAUUUGUUCCUAAGGUAGCAGAUUUUGGGAUGGCAAAGAUUUUGGGAAGGGAUUUUAGUCGGGUACUGACCACAGCCAGAGGCACGAUAGGGUACCUUGCACCUGAAUGGAUUUAUGGUGUUGCUAUCACAGCAAAAGUUGAUGUUUAUAGCUAUGGGAUGGUGUUGCUAGAAAUAAUAUCUGGAAGGAGAAACUCGGAUGCAUCAUGUUCCAGUGGUGGCGACCUUGGUGUUUUUUUCCCUGUGCAUGCCGCGCGUAAGCUUCUUGAAGGAGACAUCGAGAGUUUAGUAGAUCACAAAUUGCAAGGUGAUGUCAAUCUCGAUGAGGUUGAAUUAGCUUGCAAGGUUGCAUGUUGGUGCAUACAAGAUGAUGAAUUCGAUCGGCCAACAAUGGGAGAGGUGGUUCAGAUUCUUGAGGGACAGGUUGAAACCAGGAUGCCACCGAUGCCAAGAUUACUUCAAGCUGUGGCUGGAAGCUCCUCUUCAACGUGUUCGUAA